AAACGUCUAAAGAUACGGGCAUCUCAGU
rnacentral:sRNA from 1 species